AGCGUGCGCAGGCGGUUAUAUAAGACAGAUGUGAAAUCCCCGGGCUCAACCUGGGAACUGCAUUUGUGACUGUAUAGCUGGAGUGCGGCAGAGGGGGAUGGAAUUCCGCGUUUUGAGCAGUGAAAUGCGUAGAUAUGCGGAGGAACACCGAUGGCGAAGGCAAUCCCCUGGGCCUGCACUGACGCUCAUGCACGAAAGCGUGGGGAGCAAACAGGAUUAGAUACCCUAGU
rnacentral:rRNA from 1 species